rnacentral:rRNA from 1 species
GUGCCAGCAGCCGCGGUAAUACGUAGGGGGCAAGCGUUGUCCGGAUUUAUUGGGCGUAAAGAGCGUGUAGGCGGCCAGACAGGUCCGUUGUGAAAACUAGAGGCUUAACCUCUAGACGUCGAUGGAAACCGUUUGGCUAGAGUCCGGAAGAGGAGAAUGGAAUUCCUGGUGUAGCGGUGAAAUGCGCAGAUAUCAGGAAGAACACCCGUGGCUAAGGCGGUUCUCUAGUACGGUACUGACGCUGAGACGCGAAAGCGUGGGGAGCGAACAGGAUUAGAAACCCCUGUAGUCC